GCUGGGCAUGAUGGCGCAUGCCUGUAAUCCCAGCAGCUCAAGAGGCUGAGGCAGGAGGAUCACAAGGGCAAAGCCAGCCUCAGCAACUUAGCAAGACCCUGUCUCAA
rnacentral:sRNA from 1 species